UACCAGCACCCCGAGUGGUCGGGACGAUUAUUGGGCCUAAAGCAUCCGUAGCCGGUUCUGCAAGUCCUCCGUUAAAUCCAGCUGCUCAACAGAUGGGCCGCGGAGGAUACUACAGAGCUAGGAGGCAGGAGAGGCAAGCGGUACUCAGUGGGUGGGGGGUAAAAUCCGUUGAUCCAUUGAAGACCACCAGUGGCGAAGGCGGCUUGCCAGAAUGCGCUCGACGGUGAGGGAUGAAAGCUGGGGGAGCAAACCGG
rnacentral:rRNA from 1 species